rnacentral:rRNA from 1 species
ACAGAGGGGGCAAGCGUUAUUCGGAAUUAUUGGGCGUAAAGCGCACGUAGGCGGCUUUGUAAGUUAGAGGUGAAAGCCCAGGGCUCAACCCUGGAAUUGCCUUUAAGACUGCAUCGCUCGAAUCAUGGAGAGGUGAGUGGAAUUCCGAGUGUAGAGGUGAAAUUCGUAGAUAUUCGGAAGAACACCAGUGGCGAAGGCGACUCACUGGACAUGUAUUGACGCUGAGGUGCGAAAGCGUGGGGAGCAAACAGGA